UACGUAGGGUGCAAGCGUUGUCCGGAAUUACUGGGCGUAAAGAGCUCGUAGGCGGUUUGUCGCGUCGUCUGUGAAAACCAGCAGCUCAACUGUUGGCUUGCAGGCGAUACGGGCAGACUUGAGUAUUUCAGGGGAGACUGGAAUUCCUGGUGUAGCGGUGAAAUGCGCAGAUAUCAGGAGGAACACCAGCGGCGAAGGCGGUGCUCUGGGCCGGAACUGACGCUGAGGAGCGAAAGCGUGGGGAGCGAACAGG
rnacentral:rRNA from 1 species